UGGAUCCAGACUUUGAUUAUGGCUCAGGAUGAACGCUAGCUACAGGCUUAACACAUGCAAGUCGAGGGGCAGCAUGGUCUUAGCUUGCUAAGGCCGAUGGCGACCGGCGCACGGGUGAGUAACACGUAUCCAACCUGCCGUCUACUCUUGGACAGCCUUCUGAAAGGAAGAUUAAUACAAGAUGGCAUCAUGAGUCCGCAUGUUCACAUGAUUAAAGGUAUUCCGGUAGACGAUGGGGAUGCGUUCCAUUAGAUAGUAGGCGGGGUAACGGCCCACCUAGUCUUCGAUGGAUAGGGGUUCUGAGAGGAAGGUCCCCCCCAUUGGAACUGAGACACGGUCCAAACUCCUACGGGAGGCAGCAGUGAGGAAUAUUGGUCAGUGGGCGAGAGCCUGAACCAGCCAAGUAGCGUGAAGGAUGACUGCCCUAUGGGUUGUAAACUUCUUUUAUAAAGGAAUAAAGUCGGGUAUGCAUACCCGUUUGCAUGUACUUUAUGAAUAAGGAUCGGCUAACUCCGUGCCAGCAGCCGCGGUAAUACGGGGGAUCCGAGCGUUAUCCGGAUUUAUUGGGUUUAAAGGGAGCGUAGAUGGAUGUUUAAGUCAGUUGUGAAAGUUUGCGGCUCAACCGUAAAUUGCAGUUGAUACUGGAUAUCUUGAGUGCAGUUGAGGCAGGCGGAAUUCGUGGUGUAGCGGUGAAAUGCUUAGAUAUCACGAAGAACUCCGAUUGCGAAGGCAGCCUGCUAAGCUGCAACUGACAUUGAGGCUCGAAAGUGUGGGUAUCAAACAGGAUUAGAUACCCUGGUAGUCCACACGGUAAACGAUGAAUACUCGCUGUUUGCGAUAUACAGCAAGCGGCCAAGCGAAAGCGUUAAGUAUUCCACCUGGGGAGUACGCCGGCAACGGUGCAACUCAAAUGAAUUGACGGA
rnacentral:rRNA from 1 species